rnacentral:rRNA from 1 species
UAAUACCCCAUAUGCCGAGAGGUGAAAUGAAUUUUCGCCUGAGGAUGAGCUCGCGUCUGAUUAGCUAGUUGGUGGGGUAAGAGCUUACCAAGGCAAUGAUCAGUAGCUGGUCUGAGAGGAUGAUCAGCCACACUGGGACUGAGACACGGCCCAGAYUCCUACGGGAGGCAGCAGUGGGGAAUUUUCCGCAAUGGGCGAAAGCCUGACGGAGCAACGCCGCGUGAGGGAUGAAGGCCUCUGGGCUGUAAACCUCUUUUCUCAAGGAAGAAGAUCUGACGGUACUUGAGGAAUAAGCCACGGCUAAUUCCGUGCCAGCAGCCGCGGUAAUACGGGAGUGGCAAGCGUUAUCCGGAAUUAUUGGGCGUAAAGCGUCCGCAGGCGGCCUUUUAAGUCUGUUGUCAAAGCGUGGAGCUUAACUCCAUAUCGGCAAUGGAAACUGGGAGGCUUGAGUGUGGUAGGGGCAGAGGGAAUUCCCGGUGUAGCGGUGAAAUGCGUAGAUAUCGGGAAGAACACCAGUGGCGAAGGCGCUCUGCUGGGCCAUCACUGACGCUCAUGGACGAAAGCCAGGGGAGCGAAAGGGAUUAGAUACCCCUGUAGUCCUGGCCGUAAACGAUGAACACUAGGUGUCGGGGGAAUCGACCCCCUCGGUGUCGUAGCCAACGCGUUAAGUGUUCCGCCUGGGGAGUACGCACGCAAGUGUGAAACUCARAGGAAUUGACGGGGGCCCGCACAAGCGGUGGAGUAUGUGGUUUAAUUCGAUGCAACGCGAAGAACCUUACCAGGGUUUGACAUCCUGCGAAUCCCUUGGAAACGAGGGAGUGCCUUCGGGAGCGCAGAGACAGGUGGUGCAUGGCUGUCGUCAGCUCGUGUCGUGAGAUGUUGGGUUAAGUCCCGCAACGAGCGCAACCCACGUCUUUAGUUGCCAGCAUUGAGUUGGGCACUCUAGAGAGACCGCCGGUGAUAAACCGGAGGAAGGUGUGGAUGACGUCAAGUCAUCAUGCCCCUUACAUCCUGGGCUACACACGUACUACAAUGCUACGGACAGAGGGCAGCAAACUCGCGAGAGC